rnacentral:rRNA from 1 species
CCUACGGGUGGCUGCAGUCGAGAAUCAUUCACAAUGGGGGAAACCCUGAUGGUGCGACGCCGCGUGGGGGAAUGAAGGUCUUCGGAUUGUAAACUCCUGUCAUGUGGGAGCAAAUUAAAAAGAUAGUACCACAAGAGGAAGAGACGGCUAACUCUGUGCCAGCAGCCGCGGUAAUACAGAGGUCCCAAGCGUUGUUCGGAAUCACUGGGCGUAAGGCGUGCGUAGGCUGUUUCGUAAGUCGUGUGUGAAAGGCGCGGGCUCAACCCGCGGACGGCACAUGAUACUGCGAGACUAGAGUAAUGGAGGGGGAAGCGGAAUUCUCGGUGUAGCAGUGAAAUGCGUAGAUAUCGAGAGGAACACUCGUGGCGAAGGCGGGUUCCUGGACAUUAACUGACGCUGAGGCACGAAGGCCAGGGGAGCGAAAGGGAUUAGAUACCCCAGUAGUC